UCGUGGAGCUUCGGCUCCUUCGAGGGAGAACCCUUGCCUUUUCGAGCACCUGUUUGUUUCCUCGGCAGGCCCGCCUGCCAAUGGGGACCCCUUAAACUCUUGCAAUAACCUGUACAAAAUCGUCUGAACAGAAAAAAAUCUAAAUCA
rnacentral:misc_RNA from 1 species